rnacentral:ncRNA from 2 species
GAUUUAUACAGAAGGGGGGAGAGACGGACUCGCUGAUCCCCUGGCAACUUCCGAUAACGGAUCAGUGCCAACCGGCCCAAUAAUAAAAGGGAACUAUAAAUU